GUGGGAACGUGCCCUUUGGUUCGGAACAACACAGGGAAACUUGUGCUAAUACCGGAUAAGCCCUUACGGGGAAAGAUUUAUCGCCAAAGGAUCGGCCCGCGUCUGAUUAGCUAGUUGGCGGGGUAAUGGCCCACCAAGGCGACGAUGGGUAGCUGGUCUGAGAGGAUGGUCAGCCACACUGGGACUGAGAUACGGCCCAGACUCCUACGGGAGGCAGCAGUCGAGAGGCUUCGGCAAUGGGGGAAACCCUGACCGAGCGACGCCGCGUGGGGGAUGAAGGCCCUUGGGUUGUAAACCCCUUUUAUUCGGGAAGAAAUGUGAUCAGGUGAACAAUCUGGUCAUUUGACGGUACCGGAUGAAUAAGCUCCGGCUAACUCCGUGCCAGCAGCCGCGGUAACACGGGGGGAGCAAGCGUUGUUCGGAAUCACUGGGCGUAAAGGGCGUGUAGGCGGUCAGGUAAGUGGGAUGUGAAAUGCCCCGGCUCACCCGGGGACCGGCAUCUCAUACUGCUUGGCUUGAGUACGGGAGAGGAUGUGGGAAUU
rnacentral:rRNA from 1 species